rnacentral:rRNA from 1 species
CCUACGGGGGGCUGCAGUAAGGAAUAUUGGUCAAUGGACGAAAGUCUGAACCAGCCAUGCCGCGUGGAGGAUGAAGGUCCUCUGGAUUGUAAACUUCUUUUAUAUGGGACGAAAAAAGGCUUUUCUAGGUCGUCUGACGGUACCAUAUGAAUAAGCACCGGCUAACUCCGUGCCAGCAGCCGCGGUAAUCCGGAGGGUGCAAGAUUUAUCCGGAUUAAAGGGGUUGAAGGUGGGUUGGUAUGGGUGGGGAGAAAUCCCCGAGCUUAACUUGGGAACUGCCAUUGAUACUAUCAGUCUUGAAUACCGUGGAGGUCAGCGGAAUAUGUCAUGUAGCGGUGAAAUGCUUAGAUAUGACAUAGAACACCAAUUGCGAAGGCAGCUGGCUACCCGAAUAUUGACACUGAGGCACGAAAGCGUGGGGAUCAAACAGGAUUAGAUACCCCAGUAGUC